AUUGAACGCUGGCGGCAUGCCUUACACAUGCAAGUCGAACGGUAACAGGCCGCAAGGUGCUGACGAGUGGCGAACGGGUGAGUAAUGCAUCGGAACGUGCCCAGUAGUGGGGGAUAGCCCGGCGAAAGCCGGAUUAAUACCGCAUACGACCUGAGGGAGAAAGGGGGGGAUCGCAAGACCUCUCGCUAUUGGAGCGGCCCAUGUCAGAUUAGCUAGUUGGUGGGGUAAAGGCCUACCAAGGCAACGAUCUGUAGUUGGUCUGAGAGGACGACCAGCCACACUGGGACUGAGGCACGGCCCAGACUCCUACGGGAGGCAGCAGUGGGGAAUUUUGGACAAUGGGCGCAAGCCUGAUCCAGCAAUGCCGCGUGCAGGAAGAAGGCCUUCGGGUUGUAAACUGCUUUUGUCAGGGAAGAAAUCUUCUGGGUUAAUACCUCGGGAGGAUGACGGUACCUGAAGAAUAAGCACCGGCUAACUACGUGCCAGCCGCCGCCGUAACAC
rnacentral:rRNA from 1 species